UACGGGGGGGGGCAAGCGUUGUUCGGAAUUACUGGGCGUAAAGGGUUCGUAGGUGGCCAACUAAGUCAGACGUGAAAUCCCUCAGCUUAACUGGGGAACUGCGUCUGAUACUGGUUGGCUUGAGUGCAGGAGAGGAACGCGGAAUUCCAGGUGUAGCGGUGAAAUGCGUAGAUAUCUGGAGGAACACCGGUGGCGAAGGCGGCGUUCUGGGCCGAUACUGACACUGAGGAGCGAAAGCGUGGGGAGCGAACAGG
rnacentral:rRNA from 1 species